GUGGCCAUAUUAAGAAAAAACCAAACUGAUCUUCUAGAGCUGAAAAACUCUCUACAAGAAUUUCAUAAUAUGAUCAGAAGUAUUAACAGCA